ACUGUUUUUUGUGAUGACUUUUUGAAACGUUUUGGUGAAUCGUCUUUCAUCGGAGGGAUAUAAAUCUCCGAGAUUUCAUGAAAAUAUUUCAGUUUUUCUUUCGUGUGGCUUUUGGAACCCCGUUAUUUUGUGACUCCAGCUACAUUCAAUUUGCCCAAUCAGACGCGAUCAGAUGAAGAUGCUGCACGCAGAAGUUACUGAUAUCAAUAUCAGUGACAUUGUGAAUGAACUCUGCUCACUGUAAAUGGUGUUGUUGGGCUUCUUCUAUGUCAAGCU